UCUUUGACCACAUAUUCAGCAUUUAUUCCAAAUUUGCAUUAUUGAGUGAGCAGUUUUGGAUCCAAUAAGUUCGCGCAAAACAACUUAUUGCUUAUCCUCUUGCUUCACACAUAAACUUGUUUCAAAUUUUCAUUUUGCAAAGUUACAAAAAAAUAUGGCUGAAGCUGUGAUUGAAAUUGUUCUUGGGAGUUUAAGUUCCCUGGCUCAAAAUGAGAUUGGCCUAUUUCUUGGUUUUGAUAAAGAAUUUGAAAAGAUUUCCAGCUUGCUCACUACAAUCAAGGCUACUCUUGAAGAUGCUGAGGAGAAACAAUUCACUGAUAAAGCUAUACAGAAUUGGCUGCAAAAGCUGAAAUAUGCAGCUCAUGUCCUUGAUGACAUCUUGGACGAGUGUGCCACUAAAGCAUUGGAGUUGAAGUACAAAGGAUUCAAGCAUGGACUCUCUUGCUUAUCCUCUUUGAAUCCUAAACAUGUUGCAUUUCGUUACAAAGUUGCUAAGAAAAUGAAGAGCAUAAGGGAGAGACUCGAUCAAAUUGCUGAAGAAAGGAAGUUUCACUUGCCAGAGACGGCUAGAGAGAGGAGAACUGGAGUCCCUGACCGGCGACAAACCACCUCUACCAUUACUCAACCUCAAGUGUAUGGAAGAGAUGAAGAUGUGAAAAAAAUUGCAGACUUUUUAGUUGGUCCUGCUGCUGAUUCGGAUGAUUUAUCAGUCUAUCCAAUUGUAGGCUUGGGGGGGCUUGGUAAAACAACACUUGCCCAAAGUAUCUUCAACCAUGACAGGGUGGUUAAACACUUUGAACUAAGAUCUUGGGUAUGUGUUUCAGAAGAUUUUAGUUUGAAAAGAAUGACAAAAUCCAUUAUUGAAUCAAUAUCUGGACAUGCUUGUGAGGAUUUGGAACUAGAUCCACUACAGAGAAAGCUUCAUGACUUGCUUUACAGGAAAAAGUAUCUGCUUGUUUUAGACGAUGUAUGGGAUGAAGAGCAAGAGAAUUGGCAAAAGUUGAAAUCUAUAUUGGCUUCUGGAGGAAAGGGUGCUUCGGUUAUAGUCACCACUCGACUUUUGAAGGUUGCAACAAUCAUGGGAACAAUGCCUCCUCAUGAACUAUCAAUGUUAUCUUACAAUGAUUGUUGGGAGUUGUUUAAACAACGGGCCUUUGGAGCAAACGAGGAAGAACUCACCGAGCUUGUGGUCAUAGGUAAGGAGAUAGUGCAAAAGUGUGGGGGAGUGCCUCUUGCAACAAUAGCACUAGGAAGUCUCUUGCGUUUUAAAAGAGAUAAAAAGGAGUGGCUCUAUAUCAAGGAAAGCAAGUUGUGGAGUUUACAAGGUGAGAACGUUGUCAUGCCUGCCUUGAGACUAAGUUACUUGAAUUUGCCAAUUAAACUCAGACAAUGUUUUGCCCUUUGUGCACUAUUUCCCAAAGAUUACAUUAUAAACAAGCAAUUUGUAAUUGAACUUUGGAUUGCUAAUGGCUUUAUUUCAUCCAAUGAAAUGUUGGAUGCAGAAGAUAUAGGCAAUGAUGUGUGGAAUGAAUUAUACUGGAGAUCAUUUUUUCAAGAUAUUAGGAAAGAUGAAUUUUUUGGCAAUGUUUUGAGUUUCAAGAUGCAUGAUCUUGUUCACGAUCUUGCUCAAUCUAUUACAGAAGAUGUCUAUUGCAUUACAGAGGACAGUGUCGCACCGAUGUCUAAAAGAAUACGUCAUAUCUCAAUUUAUAGAAGCAAGGAAUUUGAGGAAGUCAUCCAGUUACCAAAUACCAAAUCUUUGAAGACCUAUAUAUCUCUUGGCUCUAUUGAUGCGUACAAACUUUCACCUCAUUUACUAGAAUGCUAUUCUUUACGCGUGCUUGAGUAUAUGAAUAGGAAAAAGUUGUCAUCCUCAAUUGGCCAUUUAAGAUAUUUAAGGUACUUGAAUCUUUCUUAUGGCGACUUCAAAACUCUUCCAGAAUCUUUAUGUGAAUUGUGGAAUUUACAAAUUUUAAAGUUAGACUGUUGUACAAAACUACAAAAUUUGCCUAAUAAUUUGACACGCUUGGAAUCUCUACAACAUAUAUCUUUGAUUGGUUGCUCCUCAUUAUCAAGCUUACCCUCCAAUAUUAGCAAGUUAACUUCCCUAAGGACUUUAACCAUGUAUAUAGUUGGGAAGAAAAGAGGUUCCCUUUUGGCAGAAUUGGCGCAGCUAAACCUUAAAGGAGAGCUUCACCUAAAGCACCUUGAGCGAGUGAAAAAUGUAACAGAUUCUAAAGAAGCCAAUAUGUCUAGAAAGUACUUAAACGAUUUGCGGUUGUCAUGGGGUGCAAAUGAAGAAUCUGAUUUGCAGGAAAAUGUCGAGCAGAUUGCUGAAAUGCUUCAACCUCAUGCCCAACAACUUCAAUUUCUUGGUGUAGAAGGAUAUAGAGGUGAACAUUUUCCACAAUGGAUGUCUAGUCCUUCUUUAAAAGAUUUGGAACUCAGGGAUUGCAAAAACUGUUUAUAUCUAAAAGAAGAGUCCUCUAAUGGUGGAAUUGCAGGUGGAUUUAUAGCUUUGGAAAAUCUAUUGUUAAAUAAGAUGUCAAAAUUGAUAAGCUUUUCAAGAGAUCAGGUUGCAGAAAACAUGUUUACAUGCCUUUCAAAACUUAAAAUCAUCGGGUGUCCUAAUUUGUUAGGUUUGCCUUUUCUUCCAGCUCUCAAGGAGCUAAGUGUGAAAGGGAAUUGCAGUUGGGAGUUGUUAAGCUCAAUCCACAAACUCCAUAACCUUGAAUCUCUCUAUCUUGGACACAAUGAAGAGGUAUCUUGCUUUCCAGACAAUAUGCUAAGUAAUCUUACUUCUCUUAAAGAAUUAAUGAUUAGGAAUCACUCCAAACUUAAGUUACUCCCAAUUGAAACCAUUAACCCCUGUGUACUCUGGAGAUUGUCAAUUGAAAAUUGUGAGAACCUGGAGUCAUUGAAAGAUGAAGCAUUGCAAGGGUUGCAUUCUCUUGAGCAUUUAGAAAUCCAGAGAUGUCCAAAGUUCAAUCUUUCAGCAGGUUUUGGAUACUUAACAUGUCUUAAGGAAUUGAGAAUCGGAAAUAUCUCUGAUAUGAGUGGUUUUUCAGAGGCUUUACAACACAUGACGGCUUUGGAAUUCAUAUCAUUGAGUGAACUUCCAAAUCUUACAUCCUUACCUGACUGUUUGGGUAACCUUGGCUUGCUUCGUGAAUUAAGUAUUGCUGGAUGUCCGAACCUAAUGUGUCUUCCAACUACCAUCCAGUGUCUCAGUGGUCUUCAAACUUUGCAUAUUAAUGGUUGCCAUCCAGAGUUAGCAAAUAGAUGUGAAAAGGAAACAGGGGAGGAUUGGCCAAAAAUAGCUCAUGUGAAGUAUCUUUAUAUCUGUAAGUGAUUUGUGUGGUUCGCUAUAAAUGAGUUUGUCCUCAAUAUCCUUGUUAUAUACAUCUUCAUGUGUUUAAACUUAGAAUUUCAAAUUCAAUUUUAAUUACCUUCGUUAAUGAACACGUAUAUAUAUAGUCCAUCAUAAGCACUUGUCAUCAUAUGAUAUAAGGGUACUUAACUAAUCUAUAUAUAUAUAUAUUAUUCAAAUUUAAAAAAGAUUAAGGAUUUAAUUGGUAGAUAUCUACUCACGCUAUUUUUCUAUGUUACUUUCUAAAAAUAUCUUUUAAAUUAUAAAACAUAUGAUGUGGAAUGUGAUUUGAGAGUAUAUCUGUAAAACUUUUUUUAGUCUCACAAUGCAAAAAAAAAAAACUCAAAAUUUAAGUGGACAUAUAAUUUAAAGUGUCCAACAUCAAUUAUAAGGUAAAUGAUUUGUGUGGUUAGCUAUAGAAGUUUUUUUUUUUCUUCAUGUUUAUCUUACUCAAUUGUUCUUCUUUUAUAGAUGAAAAUGAUAAUUACUAAAUUAUAAAUGAAGCAUAUGUGUGAUCCAUUCAGCAUGAGUUCCUUCAAUCUGAGCAAACAAAGAGUUCAGCCUAACCCCAUCUUUCACAAAUGGACAGAACAUAUUAUUGAGAUUGAUUGUCAAUGGUACGAGUACGAGAGAAGCUUUCCAUUCGACCUCAUGAAGUUGCUGCCAAUUUCUUCAUCAAAUCAAAUAGCAAAUCAUUUCAUCAAAGCUCUUCCUCCACAAUCUUUCUUCCAUCCCAUUGCCAAUCUUAGACUUGUGGGCUGUGGCACACUAUUACAAAAUAAGUAGUUAGUUAGUUAGUUCCCUUUCUGUUACAAAGUUAGUUAGAGAGAAUUUGAAUUGGUUAUGCAUUUUUAUAUGUUCUUCUCCUAUAGACAGAAUUUGUAUUAAUUACUUACUGAAUCAUUGAAUAAUGUUGUUUUCAUGUUGA